AUUGAACGCUGGCGGCAGGCCUAACACAUGCAAGUCGAGCGGCAGCGGAAAGUAGCUUGCUACUUUGCCGGCGAGCGGCGGACGGGUGAGUAAUGUCUGGGAAACUGCCUGAUGGAGGGGGAUAACUACUGGAAACGGUAGCUAAUACCGCAUAACGUCGCAAGACCAAAGAGGGGGACCUUCGGGCCUCUUGCCAUCAGAUGUGCCCAGAUGGGAUUAGCUAGUAGGUGGGGUAACGGCUCACCUAGGCGACGAUCCCUAGCUGGUCUGAGAGGAUGACCAGCCACACUGGAACUGAGACACGGUCCAGACUCCUACGGGAGGCAGCAGUGGGGAAUAUUGCACAAUGGGCGCAAGCCUGAUGCAGCCAUGCCGCGUGUAUGAAGAAGGCCUUCGGGUUGUAAAGUACUUUCAGCGGGGAGGAAGGUGUUGAGGUUAAUAACCUCAGCAAUUGACGUUACCCGCAGAAGAAGCACCGGCUAACUCCGUGCCAGCCGCCGCCGUAA
rnacentral:rRNA from 1 species